AGUUAAUGAACUUGUAUAAGUAUAUAUUUUGAAAAUAUAAAAAAGGGUUACACUCCCUAUUAACUU
rnacentral:tRNA from 1 species